UCGCAAUGUCGAAGAGGGCGCCGGUCGG
rnacentral:sRNA from 1 species